rnacentral:rRNA from 1 species
GACAGAGGCCUCAAGCGUUAGGCGGAAUCACUGGGCUUAAAGCGUGUGUAGGCGGGCCCGUAAGUGUCUUGUGAAAUCCCACGGCUCAACCGUGGAACUGCUGGGCAUACUGCGGGUCUUGGGCCAACUAGGGGCAGCCGGAACAAGCGGUGGAGCGGUGAAAUGCGUAGAUAUCGCUUGGAACGCCGAAGGUGAAAACAGGCUGCUGGGGUUGCGCCGACGCUGAGACACGAAAGCCAGGGGAGCAAACGGGG